AUUUGACCGUUUAAAUGUUUACGACCGUCUGAAACAACUUCCAUACCUCACGAAAACAUAUUUAAACAGAUGGAGAACUAGAGCAGAACACAGUGUAACCGCGAUUUGCAAAAUGAAAGGUAAUUUCUUUUUUUUUUUUUUUCAUUCCUUGUAACACGUCUGUUUAAUGUUACUAUAAUAAGUAUUUAUUCGAACUAAAAACAGUCGAACAUCGAGUUGAAAUUCACCCACCACCAAGGGAUCUCCUAACAGAGUCUCCAAUCCUUUUGUCCGAUGACGACGAAGUGAAAGACGAAGAACUUUGUUUGAUCGAUCUUACAAAGUUGGAAGAUGAUUAUCGAGAGGAUUCGCCGGAAGAGACCAACGCGAUCCCUUUAACCCAAUCGCAGUCUGAUUUUCCGUUUACAUCUCUUGCUCACUGGUCUCCCUUAACGCUGG